GUGGGUAUAGCUCAGUUGGUUAGAGCGCCAGAUUGUGGCUCUGGAGGUCGUGAGUUCAACUCUCAUUACUCACCCCA
rnacentral:tRNA from 1 species